GAAAGCGUGGGGAGCAAACAGGAUUAGAUACCUGGUAGUCCACGCCGUAAACGAUGUCGAUUGGAGGUUGUGCCCUUGAGGCGUGGCUUCCGGAGCUAACGCGUUAAAUCGUCCGCCUGGGGAGUACGGCCGCAAGGUUAAAACUCAAAUGAAUUGACGGGGGCCCGCACAAGCGGUGGAGCAUGUGGUUUAAUUCGAUGCAACGCGAAGAACCUUACCUGGUCUUGACAUCCACAGAACUUUCCAGAGAUGGAUUGGUGCCUUCGGGAACUGUGAGACAGGUGCUGCAUGGCUGUCGUCAGCUCGUGUUGUGAAAUGUUGGGUUAAGUCCCGCAACGAGCGCAACCCUUAUCCUUUGUUGCCAGCGGUUAGGCCGGGAACUCAAAGGAGACUGCCAGUGAUAAACUGGAGGAAGGUGGGGAUGACGUCAAGUCAUCAUGGCCCUUACGACCAGGGCUACACACGUGCUACAAUGGCGCAUACAAAGAGAAGCGACCUCGCGAGAGCAAGCGGACCUCAUAAAGUGCGUCGUAGUCCGGAUUGGAGUCUGCAACUCGACUCCAUGAAGUCGGAAUCGCUAGUAAUCGUAGAUCAGAAUGCUACGGUGAAUACGUUCCCGGGCCUUGUACACACCGCCCGUCACACCAUGGGAGUGGGUUGCAAAAGAAGUAGGUAGCUUAACCUUCGGGAGGGCGCUUACCACUUUGUGAUUCAUGACUGGGGU
rnacentral:rRNA from 1 species